GUGUGAAUAGAGAUACUCAGAUUCGAGUUCAAGUUCAAUGGAUGAUGUCUCUUUACCAAUUGAUAAAUUAUCCAUUGAUUCAAAGACUGAGGACAAGGCUUGUCUAGUAGUGCUAGUGGCGACUGGGAGUUUCAAUCCUCCUACUUUUAUGCAUCUACGCAUGUUUGAGCUUGCGAGAGAUGCAUUACACUCGGAAGGAUUUCAUGUUCUUGGAGGUUAUAUGUCUCCUGUUAAUGAUGCAUACAAGAAGAAGGAUCUUUUAUCUGCAAAACAUCGUUUAGAGAUGUGUAAUCUAGCUUGUCAAAGCUCUGACUUUGUAAUGGUUGAUCUAUGGGAGGCAUCUCAAAGCAGCUAUCAACGAACUUUGGCGGUUUUAUCAAGGGUCAAGACUUAUUUAACAAUAGAUCAACAUGUACCCGAGGAAUCUCUCAAAGUUAUGCUACUAUGUGGCUCGGAUUUACUGCAAUCUUUCUGUACUCCCGGUGUUUGGAUCCCUGAACAGGUAAGAACUAUUUGUCAAGACUAUGGCAUUGUGUGCAUCCGUAGAGAAGGACAAGAUGCUGAGAAUAUGAUCUCUAGUGACAAAAUCUUAAACGAAAGUAGUGAUAAUAUCAGAAUCGUCGACAAUCUUGUUCCUAAUCAGAUUAGUUCGAGUAGAUUAAGGCAAUGCAUUUCGCGAGGGUUAUCGGUUAAAUACUUGACUGAAGAUGGAGUAAUAGAUUAUAUCAGACAACAUCAACUUUACACUGAGCUCACAUGACAAAAGCUGAGAGAAUAUUACUCUAUCAUAUCAAUAUUACUACACAACCCAUCAAAUAAAUGUGAUAAACAGAUGUAAUCAGUAUAGCAGCACCUUUAAAGUUUGAUACUCCCUCACCAAUGAGGCAAUGACAUUACAUCCUUGAUAACCGGUCCAAAAGGUAUCUAGUCCUUUCUUUAUUUGUCUUCAUCAGCGUGGCUUUGACUAUAUGGAUUGGUCGGAUAGAUGAUAGAUCUGAAUUGGAUGCUCGGCUCUUGUCAAUCUUGUUGAGAAAGUUUGCUUUUUAGCGGUUUGCGCAAUCUUGAGACAGUGUGUAGAAAAGAACAAAUGUUCCGGUGGCUAGGAAUGAUGAUAUGAUAUUUUGACCAAAAGAGAAGUAUUUGAAUGCUGUCUUAUGUAGUUCUAUGUUUCGAUUUUGUCAAAAUCUAGUUGUAUGUGGUAGAUUCAUAACUUCUUCUAUGGUUUGUUGACUUGUUUAGAAAAUGAAAUUUGUAGUUCAAGUGAAAAAGCGUUCAUAUAUACACCUUGUUGAUAUGCUGUUUCGACAUGGUACAAUCAAUGGAUGCGAAAUUGAUCUUGUAGAGUUGAUGAUCUCUCUUUGUCUGAGUUAGUCUUUGUGAGUGAAGACUCUGCAACAUUCUCUGUUUCUGUGAUUAUCCUCAUUUCCUUAUGAAAACAUAUGAUUCUUGACAACUCAGACCAAAGUAGCUACUGUAGAGGAUUCACUUUUUUGAUGCCAAAGUAGCUACUGCAUAGUCAUAUCGAUUUUUUUGUCCUAGUGACGCCGGGAAGCACAAACGUGCGCUGCAACAUCUUUAGAUGAAAUCUCAUUUAAGAAAUGUUCAAGACACUGCAAGAUCUAUGACCAAUCUUCUCAAAAUGUUGUGUCUUAUGUUUCCCAUAUCGCCUGUUAAGUAUCAGCUUGAGCUUAGAUGACUAGAUAAGUUGUAAAUGUGACUUCUGUAAUUAGUAAUGAAAACAUUCAAUACAUUA